CCUACGGGAGGCAGCAGUGGGGAAUAUUGCUCAAUGGACGAGAGUCUGAACCAGCCACGUAGCGUGAAGGAUGACUGCCCUAUGGGCUGUAAACUUCUUUUAUAAAGGAAUAAAACGAGGCACGUGUGCCUUUUUGCAUGUACUUUAUGAAUAAGGAUAGGCUAACCCCGGGCCAGCAGCCGCGGGAAUACGGAGGAUCCGAGCGUUAUCCGGAUGUAUUGGGUUUAAAGGGAGCGUAGGUGGGUUGUUAAGUCAAUUGUGAAAGGUUGCGGCACAACCGUAAAAUUGCAAUUGAUACUGGCAGUCUGGAGUACAGUAGAGGUAGGCGGAAUUCGUGGUGUAGCGGUGAAAUGCUUAGAUAUCACGAAGAACCCCGAUUGCGAAGGCAGCUUACUAAACUGUGACUGACAUUGAUGCUCGAAAGUGUGGGUAUCAAACAGGAUUAGAUACCCGAGUAGUC
rnacentral:rRNA from 1 species